GAUGAAGAACGUAGUGAAAUGCGAUAAGUAAUGUGAAUUGCAGAAUUCAGUGAAUCAUCGAAUCUUUGAACGCACCUUGCGCCCUUUGGCCAUUCCGAAGGGCAUGCCUGUUUGAGUAUCAUGAACACCUCAACUCUUUAUGGUUUUCCAUGAUGAGCUUGGACUCUGGGGGUUUUGCUGGCUCACAGUCGGCUCCUCUAAAAUGAAUCAGCUUACCAGUGUUUGGUGGGUAUCAUGGGUGUGAUAACUAUCUACGCUUGUGGUUUUUCCACCAGGUAACCUUCAGCAGUGGAGGUUCGCUGGAGCUCAUAGAUGUCUCUCCUCAGUGAGGACAGCCCUUUGAAUGUUUGAUCUCAAAUCAGGUAGGACUACCCGCUGAACUUAAGCAUAUCAAUAAGCCGGAGGA
rnacentral:misc_RNA from 1 species